AGCGAACGUUUGCGGCGGGCCUAACACAUGCAAGUCGAACGCACUAGCAAUAGUGAGUGGCGCACGGGUGCGUAACACGUGGGUAAUCAACCCUUCAGCCUGGGAUAACGACUCGAAAGGGUCGCUAAUACCGGAUACGGCGCGAGAGGCUUCGGCUUCUCACGAGAAAGCCACGCAAGGGGCACUGAAGGACGAGCCUGCGGCCCAUCAGCUAGUUGGUGAGGUAAGAGCUCACCAAGGCUAAGACGGGUAGCUGGUCUGAGAGGAUGAUCAGCCACACUGGAACUGAGACACGGUCCAGACUCCUACGGGAGGCAGCAGUGGGGAAUAUUGCGCAAUGGGCGAAAGCCUGACGCAGCCACGCCGCGUGAGCGAUGAAGGCCUGGUCGUAAGACUCUGUGGGAGGAGACGAAGAAAGACCUGUGAAGAGCAGGCCUUGACGGUAUCUCCUUA
rnacentral:rRNA from 1 species